rnacentral:rRNA from 1 species
GAUGAACGCUGGCGGCGUGCCUAAUACAUGCCAGUCGAGCGAACAGACGAGGAGCUUGCUCCUCUGACGUUAGCGGCGGACGGGUGAGUAACACGUGGAUAACCUACCUAUAAGACUGGGAUAACUUCGGGAAACCGGAGCUAAUACCGGAUAAUAUAUUGAACCGCAUGGUUCAAUAGUGAAAGACGGUUUUGCUGUCACUUAUAGAUGGAUCCGCGCCGCAUUAGCUAGUUGGUAAGGUAACGGCUUACCAAGGCAACGAUGCGUAGCCGACCUGAGAGGGUGAUCGGCUACACUGGAACUGAGACACGGUCCAGACUCCUACGGGAGGCAGUAGUAGGGAAUCUUCCGCAAUGGGCGAAAGCCUGACGGAGCAACGCCGCGUGAGUGAUGAAGGUCUUCGGAUCGUAAAACUCUGUUAUUAGGGAAGAACAAAUGUGUAAGUAACUAUGCACGUCUUGACGGUACCUAAUCAGAAAGCCACGGCUAACUACGU